rnacentral:rRNA from 1 species
CUGCUGCCUCCCGUAGGAGUUUGGACCGUGUCUCAGUUCCAAUGUGGCCGAUCACCCUCUCAGGUCGGCUACUGAUCGUCGCCUUGGUGAGCCGUUACCUCACCAACAAGCUAAUCAGACGCGAGCUCAUCCAUAUCCGAUAAAUCUUUGAUGGAAAGAAGAUGCCUUCAAACCAUAUUAUGCGGUAUUAUCAGUCGUUUCCAACUGUUAUCCCCCAGACAUGGGCAGAUUGCUCACG